CUCCUUAUUGUUGUCCUGUCGCUGCUGCUCUGCUCCUAGUGCCGCUCUCCGCCUCAGGGCCGCGCGGGGCUGAGGCGCUCCCGCUCUGGAAACAAAGAGGGCGGGCGUGCCGGGACGGCGGUCGCCGCCGGUGGGGAUCCGGAAAGCCGAUUUUCUGUCUCUCGGCGGAAGCUACCGAUGGAGCACGAGAAGCCGGGCGCCGAGCAGCGGGAGGCGGAGCGGGAACACGGCCGCUACAUGGAGCGCCGGGCGGUGGCCAGAGAGCAGCUGGCGCAAAUAGAGGAGCACAAGCAUCAGGCAGACCUGGUCAAGCAGGAAAACAAAAGAGAAGGUGAAAAAAUACAAAGGCUGAGCCAGUUGUACCAACUGGAAAUUCAGAGAGGAAAAGAAAAGGAACAGGGGGAGAAAUGUGAACGCCAGAGGCAGUAUCAUGAGCAUGUAGCUGAACAAGAACAAAUUAAAAGUGAAGAGAAACAAAAAGAAGACAAAGAGGAUGAUCAAAUUAGGGCUUAUGUUAAAGAAAAAGAACUGAUGGCUGAUCUGAGAAGAGAGAAAGAUGCAGAGACCAGCAGGCUAAUUGAGGAGCAUCAGGACAGAGCUUGUAAAAAACUAACUGCACAGAUGAACAAGGCAUUGAGGAUGGAAGAUGAUCGUCUUGAUCGAGCAGCUGCAGAGGUAGAAGAUGAGUACCAAGUGAAAACCAAAGAGAAAGAAGCUAAAAAAAAGGCUGCCAUUGAAUCUAUUGCUGAAUACAGAGCCACUGACGCAAAGAUGAAAUUGCAGAAGGAGAGAGAGGAAAAAGCAGAGGGUGUGAAGGACCGCAGUCAGUGGAUGACAGAUGAUCGUAUCUACCUGGAAAUGGAAAAAGCUAAGAAAGACAAACAGCAUGAUGCAAAUGUAGAAUUACAGAAGUUUCGAAUCCAGCAAAUGGCAGAGAAACAGGCAAAAAAACAGCAAGAAAAACAAGCGGAUUUGGACUACGAUGCUCAGACAGAAGCCACUUUUCAUUAAGAGCAAAAAUUUCAGAGAUAAAGACAUGCUCUCUUUAUUACUUCAAGCUUUUUUCAGCAAAGAAUGGAAACUUUUAAUAAAGCCUUUUGAAGCUGAAACCUUGAGAAGAAGCACUGACUACAGUAAGAGUUGUGCUGAAGUCUGCAGAGCUUGAUUAUGCUCCAAAUGCAUACCCAAGUUCACAUUUACAAAUGCUCACUACCAUGUGCAACUGUUGUCCUACCUGAAAGGCAAGAAUGGAAAUCUUGCAAGAAUAAUAAUACAGAAGACUAAAGUAAUUUGUAUGUUUGAUAUGUUGAAGAACACAAAGAAAGAAGAGAAGACUGGGAAGAAGUUAAAAGAACAAUUCACUGUGCAAUUAAAAGCAGAUGAAAGCUAUUGAACAGCCUGAAAAGAUAAAUAAACUGAAACAGUGAGAAAGUUGAGCUCACUGUCUGGCAAGGAAGAAGCUAAGGAGAGAGCUAGGAGCAGCCUGCAGCUGUUGGAAGGGUAGUACAGCUAAAGCAGAGCCAAGCUCUUGGUACUGUCAGAUGAUUGAUACAACAGAUUAUUAUGUGGGAGACCAGGUUGACUGUAAAGACACAGUGUGUUCAUGCUGAAAGGUUAAAAUUUGAUCUUUUUGACUAGAAUGGUGGUCAGCUAUCAGCUGAGAAAGCUUUGAAAUCAUCACAUUUAAAGCAGGUUGGUCUAGCUGACCACCAUCUCUAGUGUAAUGCCAAGUGUCACUGCAUAUGCUUAUUAGCUAAAAUUGCAAUUUAUAGUUAACAAAUCAGAAGAUGCUUUGAGAAAUAACUUGACUACUAAACAUGAACUACUGAUUUUGCUCAACAGAGCCCCCUCUCAACUGGUGCGCUGCCUUGCUUCAGAAGUCAUAGGACGCAUGCAUGUCAUAGGACACACUCACAGGGAUUGGUCUUAUGAGAAGGCCAGGACCUAAGAAAUGCAGGGCCUAGAGGGACUGAGACAAAGCAAACUGUGUUUUUUCCCCAACGUGUCACCCAACUUUGUGGAAAUAGAUUGGUGCUUUAAGUGCUUACCUCCAGGGUCAAGUGUGAUUUUCCAGGACAAUACCACAAGUCUGAUGCCUGUAUAGCUAUAGCAGUAGUCUUCUCUGAUUGAAUUCUCACACAAAAUGGAAGAGAGGAACUUUUAUAAUAACUCAUCCUAGGUAGAUUUAAGUUAAUCACUGUGCAAUUCUUUACUGUCAAGUGGUGAUCUGGGCGAGAGUUUUCUAGUUCUAACAUUACAGGCUGCUGCUGCUCAACUCAGAGGAAGGAUGAAGAUGACACCAAGUGGAAACAAACUUUUACUGAAGAGAAGAGUUGGCACCACAGGGCAAUUAAGGAUGGACGCUUUCAGAUGCCACUAUAGAUUGGCUAUAUAUAACUCUUGUGAAAUUUUUUUCAAAACUUAAUGGUGGUUUUAGUCAAUUCAAAAGAUUUUUUUAGUCAAUUCAAAAGAAUUUGUUCUUUUAAUGACUAAGUUCUUUUAGAUUUGUUAUUUACUUAUACCUUUUUCAUAUUUAUAACACUCUCCCAUUUCAAGACAUGUAAUCUUCUUCCUUUGUCUGAUAAUGAUCCUUGUCUCUGCUGAAUCUCCAUUCUUGUUCUGGCAGUUCACCUUUUUCUCUGGUAGACAAUCUUCCUUUUAUUUCUAAAUAGCUCAAAAAAAAAAAAAAAAAAAAAAAAAAAGACUUGAGAGGCAGUUAAAGUGAAAGCUAGAGCUAUGAUAAGACUGCGUAAGAUACCUUUCUUUAAUUCCUUCUAUUUAAUGUGUUGUGCUAUGUUUCUAAAUUUGGACUCUCUAGUCAUUCUACUUACACUCUUACACUGCCAACAGUGCAAUUUAAGCAUCUGUUAUGGUCUAGUAAAUGAUUCAAACCUGCUAUUUAAUCUAUUAAAUCAAUCUUUUAGAAGAUCUGAAUCAGCUUUAAAACAUAGUAUCAAGUAGUUACAGUCAGCUAUAUUAAAUAAACCAUCAUAAUAUUUUUUUUUUAAUUAUUUUUUUCCCUUCUGGGUUUCUCAUCGCCAAUGCAUUAUCCAGAGAAAAUGACAAUUCUGUUAGGUACUGAAGGGUGUGUCAGAACUGUAGGCCCAAUAAAAUUCAACAUUAGAUUUUUGCUCAUAUAAUAGUAUUUUUACUACAUACUCUCUUCCAAAUAAGUAGCACCUGACUGGACUUACAGUAGUCUAUACUGUUUAAAAAAGAAAGCUAGAAAGCUGCAAUGCUUACUGUAGGAAACAAGUAAUAGUCACUGUGCAGACCAGAGACAGGCUCAAAGGUUUGAGGCUACCAAAACCUGGCAGCCUCCAGCAUCCAGCAACUGGAACAAGGGCGUGCCAGACAAGGGAAAUUUGGACCAUCUUUGGUAAAGCUUAGUAUUACCUUAUUGCUGUAGGGCAAUUGCUACUGUUUCAAUUACAAUCCAUCAAUUCAUGUACAUUCAAUUGUACAGUAAUUAGAAAUAAUACAGCAGGACUUAAACUUUUUUUCUUUCUCCUUCAGAGAUACAUCUGACAAGCAUAGGAGCACCUUCAAAUGAAUAAGAAGCUAUAGCCACUCUGCAAAACCUACCAAUGCCUAACAGCUGAAGCUGAUUGGAAUACAUUACAAGACACGCAAUGUGCCAGAACCUGCGUAUAUUCAGCUUCAGCUCAAGAAACAAUUACCUUAUCUACAGCCAUAGGUUUCAAUAAGCAAUUUUAACAGUGAUUACUGUACUUUUGUUAUGAAACAUAGCAGUAGAUUUCAGGAAGCCAAGAGGUAAAAAUCUAAACAUGUAUUUAAGCCUGACAUCUGCGCUGUACUCCUUGAGCAUUACUGGGCUUCUAAGCUUAAGUAAAACCGUGUGUUGUGGCUUUAAAAAAACUGAAUAAUAAAACUGAGUAAGCUGUUCAAAAA